GGGGCCCGCACAAGCGGAGGAACAUGUGGUUUAAUUCGAUGAUACGCGAGGAACCUUACCUGGGUUUAAAUGUAGAUUGCAUUUUUUGGAAACAGAAAUUCUCUUCGGAGCUAUUUACAAGGUGCUGCAUGGUUGUCGUCAGCUCGUGCCGUGAGGUGUCGGGUUAAGUCCCAUAACGAGCGCAACCCCUAUUUUCAGUUGCCAUCAGAUAAUGCUGGGCACUCUGGAGAGACUGCCACCGUAAGGUGAGAGGAAGGCGGGGAUGACGUCAAAUCAGCACGGCCCUUACACCCAGGGCUACACACGUGUUACAAUGGCUGGUACAGAGGGUAGCUACUUAGUGAUAAGAUGCGAAUCUCUAAAGCCAGUCGUAGUUCGGAUUGGAGUCUGCAACUCGACUCCAUGAAGUUGGAUUCGCUAGUAAUCGCGCAUCAGCAAUGGCGCGGUGAAUACGUUCCCGGGCCUUGUACACACCGCCCGUCAAGCCAUGGAAGCAGGGGGUGCCUGAAGUUCGUAACCGCAAGGAACGACCUAGGGCAAAACUUGUAACUGGGGCUAAGUCGUAACAAGGUAACC
rnacentral:rRNA from 1 species